GCGGACGUGGUGGAAUUGGUAUACACGCUAGCUUGAGGGGCUAGUGCUCGCAAGGGCUUGGAGGUUCGAGUCCUCUCGUCCGCACCA
rnacentral:tRNA from 3 species